ACUGUGGAAUUCGCCCUUCUUCGGUCAUAGAUUAAGCCAUGCAAGUGUUAGUUCAGGUUCAGUCUGAAACUGCGAACAGCUCAUUAACACACUCAGUAUCUAUUUGAUGGCGGAUAUAAGUCUUUACAUGGAUAGCAGGAGAAAACUCGUGCUAAUACAUGCGAUUGUUUCGCCGGAAAUGAAAUACGGUGGAGAAGUUGACUUUAAGAGUACAUCAUUCGAUUGAGUGACCUAUCAGCCAGUACUUAGGGUCUUUACCUAGGUAAGCAAUCACGGGUAACGGGCGGUUGCCGUCGUACUGCCGGAGAAGGCGCCUGAGAGAUAGCGACUAUACCUAUGGGUAGCAGCAGGCGCGAAACUUCCCCAAUCUUCAAAGAAGGAGGGGGUAAUGACCAGUUUCAUUUUACCUUCGGGUAGUUUGAAUAGGGGUUCAGUUUAUAACUGGGCCGCAACCUAGCAGAGGGCCAGUCUGGUGCCAGCAGCUGCGGUAAUUCCAGCUCUGCGAGUUUGCUCCCAUAUUGUUGCAGUUAAAACGCCCGUAGUCGGAGUUUGGCGUAUGCCAAUAUGAAAAACGAAAAACGUUCACUGUGAACAAAUCAGGACGCUCAGGGUAUGGUUGCAUGUAUGACCUAGCGCAGUAUGAUAUUUUUGCCUUUUUGGCAAGAUCAAGGAGAGCCAUCGGGGGUAGAUCUAUUCCACGGCGAGCGGUGGAAUGCUUUGACCCAUGUGGAGAGAGACGAAAGCGAAGGCAUCUACCUAGAGGGUUUCUGUCGAUCAAGGGCGAGAGUAGGAGUAUCCAACCGGAUCAGAGACCCGGGUAGUUCCUACUGUAAACAAUGCCGACAGGGGAUUGUCUCUUUUUAGAGGCAGGACNUUAGGAGAAAUCAUAGUUCAUGGGCUCUGGGGGAACUACGACCGCAAGGCUGAAACUUGAAGGAAUUGACGGAAGGGCACACCAGGGGUGGAGCCUGUGGCUUAAUUUGAAUCAACACGGGGAAACUUACCAGGACCAGAUGUUGGUAUGACUGACUUUCUAAAGGGAAUUCGGGAUUUGACUUGUGGUGGUGCAUGGCCGUUGGUGGUGCGUGGGUUGACCUGUCUAGCGUUGAUUCAGAUAACGAGCGAGAUUAUCGCCAAUUACUAAGACCAAGCUGUCUAACUGUCAGUUUGAGUUUUUUAAUUGGGACUCCCUGCGUCUAGCAGGCGGAAGAGGGUAGCAAUAACAGGUCCGUGAUGUCCUUUAGAUGCUCUGGGCUGCACGCGUGCUACAAUGUGAGUAUCAAACAGUUUUGAAACCGAAAGGCUGAAAAACUCUGUCAAACACUCACGUAGUUGGGAUCGACGGUUGUAAUCACCGUCGUGAACCAGGAAUCCCUUGUAAAUGUGUGUCAACAGCGCACGUUGAAUACGUCCCCGCCCUUUGUACACACCGCCCGUCGCUCCUACCGAUUGGAUGACUCGGUGAAAUUACUGGACUCUUACGAGGGGAAGGUAAUUUAAUCACGUUAUCUAGAGGAAGGAGAAGUCGUAACAAGG
rnacentral:rRNA from 1 species